UCCCCCCAGAUCUCCUUAUCCUUUCCUUCUGCGCCGCCCAAUCCCUCUGCUUUUGAGGCCUCCGACCACCAUCCCUCCAUGGCUCCCCACCUUCCAAGGUCACACGAGCGCCUCAACCUGCACUCUAUGAUGUGGAUCUGUACCCGCCGGCCACCACCAUCCAUGGCUCCUCCGCUAUUGGGACACGGCGUCGUCCCAUCUCCGUUCUGGAUAUCACCAUGCGACACCAACGCUUGUCCUGCUCCUCCACCAUGGCCCUGCUCAGACCACGCCGCCAUCGAUGCCACCGUCGAGAAUCCACCCCAACUCGAGCAGUUCACCGGCGUUAUGGAGGAAGCGCUAAGCAGCUGCAUUGCAAAUAUGAGGAACAUCAUCCGUGCAAGAAGUUCAGAUUCACUCGACGGCAAGAAAUAGUGUCAUAUUUUUCAUAUUUAAGCUCAUCAUCCGUGCAAGAAGUUCAGAUUCACUCGACGGCAAAUAUGAGGAACAUCAUCUAGUGUAUUCCUCAUAUUUAAGCUCACCGUGUUCUUCCUUCUCCCUUAAGUUGUAUUUGGUUUUUCUUUCUUAUAUUAAAGACUGAACAAUUGCAGUGUAAGCACACAAUUGGAUGUUCCUGCUGGAGAAGGUGCGCAAUCUUGCUGAGUGUAAUUUUACAUUGCUGGAACUAGAUGAUUGUAGCUCUUAGUUGUACAAGGUGGAUGCAAGUGUCUGGGUGCGAUGACCCAUAGAUAUUGCAUUGCCUUGAAAAUUAUCAGUACAUUGCAUAGAUGAAUGGAUGUCACUCCUUACAUUAUUGUUCUGAACUUCUGUACUAACUUACUGACGCAUCAAGUAACAACUAUCCUCUGUUUGUGGUCACCCCUUUGCCUAGUAACUUAUUUCCUUAUGAUUUUUUGAUUGUCUUACUAUCAAGUACAAUAACAGUUUGCUCCCUAACUUGUUUGUCCAUACCUUAUCAUUUUAGUCUCUUUCAUUAUGUUAGGUUUUUGGGAAGAAUUAAACGAACAUCAUCAGUGCUUCAUAGAGGCUGAAGCAGGUGGUUGAGGUAUCACUCAAUUUCAAGAAAUUGAAUAAGAUUCUUCCAAGUGAAAUGGCACUAUUCCCUUUCAUAUUUUGUUCUAUGCACAUGAACCUAGAAAUUAAAUAUUGAUCAACACCUGAUGGAGGACUUGUUUUUCUAGUUCGCAAUUCAUUCUUAUUAGGAACAAAAUUCAAGAUCACGUAUCUGUGAGAUAUGCAAGCGCCUCUAAUCAAGGGUAACCUUGAAGGGAAGUUUGCAACUUAAGCUGCAACCAAAGAUUAUAGAAAAUGAGAUCUCUUGUUGUGUAUAUUUAGUUGAUGCACUUGUGUGUUUUUAGAUGUUGCACCUCUGUUUCCAUUGACCUUCGAUUCAUGUACGUAAAUUCUAUGGAACUGUAUCCGAAGACAUGUGAAUUUGUAUCUCUGGUUGAUGGAAACAAUUGAUAGUGAUGUUUCUAUGUUAUAAAUAUUCUGAGUUAUGGAAUAGUUAUGUAUAAAACCAUUGAUAUUUUUUUUGGUUUCUUCUUUUUCUGACGGUUAUGUAUG